rnacentral:rRNA from 1 species
UCAACUUAAGAGUUUGAUCCUGGCUCAGAAUGAACGCUGGCGGCAGGCCUAAAACAUGCAAGUCGAACGCUUGUAGCAAUACAAGAGUGGCGCACGGGUGCGUAACACGUGGGAAUAUGCCUUUUGGUACGGAACAACUCCGGGAAACUGGAGCUAAUACCGUAUGGUCCCUUCGGGGUAAAGAUUUAUCGCCAAAAGAUUAGCCCGCGGUGGAUUAGCUAGUUGGUGAGGUAAUGGCUCACCAAGGCGACGAUCCAUAGCUGGUCUGAGAGGACGAUCAGCCACACUGGGACUGAGACACGGCCCAGACUCCUACGGGAGGCAGCAGUUAGGAAUAUUGGACAAUGGGCGCAAGCCUGAUCCAGCCAUGCCGCGUGAGUGAUGAAGGCCUUCGGGUUGUAAAACUCUUUAGCCGACGAAUAUAAUGACUGUAGUCGGAGAAUAAGCCCCGGCUAACUUCGUGCCAGCAGCCGCGGUAAUACGAAGGGGGCGAGCGUUAUUCGGAAUCACUGGGCGUAAAGCGUGCGUAGGCUGUUCUGCAAGUCAGGAGUGAAAGCCCAAGGCUCAACCUUGGAAGCGCUCUUGAAACUGCAGGACUUGAAUUUGGGAGAGGAUAGCGGAAUUGUCAGUGUAGCAGUGAAAUGCGUAGAUAUUGACAGGAACACCAGUGGCGCAAGCGGCUAUCUGGACCAACAUUGACGCUGAGGCACGAAAGCGUGGGGAUCAAACAGGAUUAGAUACCCUGGUAGUCCACGCCGUAAACGAUGUGUGUUUGUCGCCGGGGGGUCACCCUUCGGUGACGAAGCUAACGCGUUAAGCACACCGCCUGGGAAGUACGGCCGCAAGGUUAAAACUCAAAGGAAUUGACGGGGACCCGCACAAGCGGUGGAGUAUGUGGUUUAAUUCGUCGCAACGCGAAGAACCUUACCAGGCCUUGACAUGCCCUCUAUGGAUCUCAGAGAUGGGAUUCUUCACUUCGGGUGGGAGGGACACAGGUGCUGCAUGGCUGUCGUCAGCUCGUGUCGUGAGAUGUUGGGUUAAGUCCCGCAACGAGCGCAACCCCUUUUGUCAGUUGCCAACACGUAAUGGUGGGAACUCUGACGAUACUGCCGGUGAUAAGCCGGAGGAAGGCGGGGAUGACGUCAAGUCCUCAUGGCCCUUACGGCCUGGGCUACACACGUACUACAAUGGUGGUGACAAUGGGCAGCUAGUCAGCGAUGACGUGCAAAUCCCUAAAAGCCACCUCAGUUCAGAUUGCACUCUGCAACUCGAGUGCAUGAAGUUGGAAUCGCUAGUAAUCGUGGAUCAGCACGCCACGGUGAAUACGUUCCCGGGUCUUGUACACACCGCCCGUCAAGCGAUGGGAGUUGGUUCCACCUGAAGGCGGGGCGCUAACCGUAAGGAAGCAGCCGACCACGGUGGGAUCAGUGACUGGCGCUAAGUCGUAACAAGGUAGCCGUAGGGGAACCUGCGGCUGGAUCACCUCCUUUCUAAGG